rnacentral:rRNA from 1 species
AUUGAACGCUGGCGGCAGGCCUAACACAUGCAAGUCGAGCGCGAAAGUUCUUCGGAAUGAGUAAAGCGGCGGACGGGUGAGUAAUACAUGGGAAUCUGCCUGGUAGUGGGGGACAACGUUUCGAAAGGAACGCUAAUACCGCAUACGCCCUACGGGGAAAGGGGGGGAUCUUCGGACCUCUCGCUAUCAGAUGAGCCCAU